GGAUAUAGCUCAGUUGGUAGAGUGCUUGCCUUGCAUUCAAGACCCUGGGUUCAAUCCCCAGCACCA
rnacentral:tRNA from 1 species